GAAAAUCUCAGUAAUUGUAGUACCUCACAAUCUCUUUCAUCGACAAUAUCAAGACACUUUGAUGUUAGAAACUUCGGUAGGAAAGUGAAUUUGGACAUACCCAAGAGUUGAAAGUGACUUGUUGAUACUGGCUGCUUCCUUCAAUCGUUCACCUUCAGCACCAGAAGCCCUUUGCCUGAUAGCUUUAAAGACAUCUUGUCAGGAGCUGAUAAAACAUCAUCACGGAUCUCACCAACAUUGCAUCUACUGCGAAGUACCAAAUACUACAUUAUGAGCCAACAUUACCUUUCAGAACCUGCAAGGUCAACAAGAUUUAAACGCCCGAAUCGGUAAUUGAUCAUCUGAUCGCACUCCCACUGCAAAAGAAAGAUGCAUUUGAGUUAAGAUUACGUUGAAGAUUUGGGUCACAGGUACCCAGUAUGAAGCGAUGAUCAAAGCAAACUCAGAUUGCUUUCUUCUUAACACUCAAGAGCAUGUAUAUGCAAAGUUUGCGGACUUACCAACAGGAGAAGGUGAAGUACAUCUUGCUCAUUUUGCACCUCCACUUCCGUCAAGCCCUCAACAUAAACACCCUUGGUGGCAUCCUCUCGCACCUGGUUGAAGACAAACAUUUGAACUCAGGAUGUCUACAAACAAAUGGUAAUACUAGUCACAGAUACUUCAGUGUAUGAUACGACAGAGAGAGAGAGAGAGAGAGAGAGAGAGAGAGGAACUCGUCUAAGUCAAAGUAUCAUGCAUGCAUCCCAACAUGGCGGGGCUAUGACCUGUAAGUUGGAAGAGGAUGGCUCGAGAAGGUCUGUAAUCUGCUCAUUGUAAAUUUCCAGAAAAGAGCACCUGCACUUGAAUUUCAGAUUCUCGUGCUUCUGUGCUUCUUCA